rnacentral:rRNA from 1 species
AUUGAACGCUGGCGGCAUGCCUUACACAUGCAAGUCGAACGGCAGCACGGGGGCAACCCUGGUGGCGAGUGGCGAACGGGUGAGUAAAGCAUCGGAACGUACCCGGAAGUGGGGGAUAACGUAGCGAAAGUUACGCUAAUACCGCAUAUUCUGUGAGCAGGAAAGAGGGGGAUCGCAAGACCUCUCGCUUUCGGAGCGGCCGAUGUCGGAUUAGCUAGUUGGUGGGGUAAAGGCCUACCAAGGCGACGAUCCGUAGCGGGUCUGAGAGGAUGAUCCGCCACACUGGGACUGAGACACGGCCCAGACUCCUACGGGAGGCAGCAGUGGGGAAUUUUGGACAAUGGGGGCAACCCUGAUCCAGCCAUGCCGCGUGAGUGAAGAAGGCCUCGGUUGUAAG